AGUUUUCCUUCCCGCUUCUCUUCUGUUUUUUUUGUCUAUGUCCCUUCUUUUCGCGCACAAGCCUGUUUUUAAUUUCAUCGCACAAACCGAAUCGUGCAUUUUAAAAAAAGCGAGCUGGGAUUUUUUAUUGUUUUUUUCCCUUUUGGCUUCUAAGCUGCCAUGUGGAUUGGAGAUGGAGAGGUUUGUUGGUUUUCUGGGCCAAUUUUUAGGAAGUGGGGAAUUGUGCGAAGGUUCUUUUUUUCUUUCUUUCUUUCUUUCUUUUCUUCCAGCACUCCCCUCUCGUCAAGGAAAAUCCACUUGCUGCAAACAAGGGAUUGAUCUAAAGGCAGCAGAGGAAGUGUGUGUGUGUGUGUGUGUGUAUCUGGAGAAGGACGUCCCCUGUCCAAAAGAUUCAAUCAAUCACCCGAUUCUCAGGGAGAUACCGACAGAAAAAGGAAGACGACAUUUCCAAAUUGGUUACCAUCCAGCACUCCACAGAACCAUCCACCACGCUGCUCGAGGAUGAUGGGAACCGUAGUCUAAUUGUUCCACCCCUUUUGGAUCAACAGAACAAUUCACAGGGCGGGGGAAAUUGUCGCAGGCCUUAUUUAUUUAUUUGUUAAACUGAUUUGCCACCCAACUCCCCAAAACUCUGGGCAGUUCACAGGUAAAACCAAAAAUAUUUUUUUUAAAAAAACUCUGCGUUUUUAACUAUCCACACAGGACGUUUAUCCAAAUUGUUUUUUUUCCGAGAGCGAAGGUACUUGCAAAGCACAGACGCAGUUUAAUAACUGGGACCCCGGAUUUAAGAUGAAUUUGCACCCGGUCUUUGCAUUUUCACAAACCGUGCACAAGAUCUGGUUGUUUAAAGGGAAUCGGCAAUAAUAAAAAGAAAGA